GACGAACGCUGGCGGCGCGCUUAAUACAUGCAAGUCGAGCGAGAACCAGUCCUUCGGGACUGGGGAAAGCGGCGAACGGGUGAGUAACACGUGGGUAAUCUGCCCUCGGCACUGGGAUAGCCCGGGGAAACCCGGAUUAAUACCGGAUAGCCUUUCGAGCCUUCGGGCUCGUCAGAAAAGGUGGCUUCGGCUUCCGGCUGAGGAUGAGCCCGCGGCGGAUUAGCUUGUUGGUGAGGUAAUGGCUCACCAAGGCUCCGAUCCGUAGCUGGUCUGAGAGGACGAUCAGCCACACUGGGACUGAGACACGGCCCAGACUCCUACGGGAGGCUG
rnacentral:rRNA from 1 species